AGUGAACGCUGGCGGUAGGCCUAACACAUGCAAGUCGAGCGGCAGCACAGUAAGAGCUUGCUCUUACGGGUGGCGAGUGGCGGACGGGUGAGGAAUACAUCGGAAUCUACUUUUUCGUGGGGGAUAACGUAGGGAAACUUACGCUAAUACCGCAUACGACCUACGGGUGAAAGCAGGGGAUCUUCGGACCUUGCGCGAUUGAAUGAGCCGAUGUCGGAUUAGCUAGUUGGCGGGGUAAAGGCCCACCAAGGCGACGAUCCGUAGCUGGUCUGAGAGGAUGAUCAGCCACACUGGAACUGAGACACGGUCCAGACUCCUACGGGAGGCAGCAGUGGGGAAUAUUGGACAAUGGGCGCAAGCCUGAUCCAGCCAUACUGCGUGGGUGAAGAAGGCCUUCGGGUUGUAAAGCCCUUUUGUUGGGAAAGAAAAGCAGCAGGUUAAUACCCCGCUGUUCUGACGGUACCCAAAGAAUAAGCACCGGCUAACUUCGUG
rnacentral:rRNA from 1 species